CCUCUCCCUGCAGGAACCAUGUUGCCUCUUCCCGCCCAGGUCCCGCCGUGGGAUCGCUCCCGAAACCCAAAGAGACGACGUUUGGGCAGGAGACCUGGCUCUUCACUGCAGUGACACCUGGGGGGGUUUAUGGCCCAAGAAGCUGAGGGACUGAACUGGGCUCCAUCUGGGGAUCUGAACAUGGAGCAGGAUUGAUGGCCAAGAUCAGACCCAACGAAGCCACUUCCAUCUUGCUCCUCAAACUCACAGCCACUAGCAACUAACACUGGAACGAAACUUAGAAAACACCUUUUGCUGAAGCUGAGAAACUUGCACCGUUUCUGUUUCUCCUUUCAAAGAACAGGAAGAACCUGAAGAAAUUCAUCAAACCAAAAGAAAUUUUGGGUAGAUAAAUUAAA